CUUCUAGAUUUAAAACAUUUCCCCUGGGAAAAGACAUCUAAAUUUUUCCUUCUCUUUGAAAAGAAUGGAGACACAAGUCCUGGAGGUGGAGCAGCCAUCUUUUGACCAAAAGGAAGAAAACCGCAGAAGUCCUGAUGACUUCCUUGAGCAGCUACACUUCUACUGGACUGUAUACCUCCUGACCUCUUGUCAUGUGAAGAAAAUCUCAAUCUGGUUAAGCUACUGAGUUGGGUUCAUGCAACUGAAUGCAAUCCUAAUGUAAUAUUAUAUCCAUUUCUUGGAGAUUUGAAAUGAACUUAGCAUAUUAAAGAUUC